rnacentral:rRNA from 1 species
AUACGGAGGGAGCUAGCGUUGUUCGGAAUUACUGGGCGUAAAGCGCGCGUAGGCGGUUUUUUAAGUCAGAGGUGAAAGCCCAGUGCUCAACACUGGAACUGCCUUUGAAACUGGAAAACUUGAAUCUUGGAGAGGUCAGUGGAAUUCCGAGUGUAGAGGUGAAAUUCGUAGAUAUUCGGAAGAACACCAGUGGCGAAGGCGACUGACUGGACAAGUAUUGACGCUGAGGUGCGAAAGCGUGGGGAGC